UUCCUUCACGGUCUGUGCCAGGAGUUCACCUCUUUCAUCAUUUGAGCUCAGUUCAGUGUGCAGAUCAAAUGAUGUCUCAACUGCUCCUGAUCCUUUCGUGGCUCUUCGUGCCUCUUUUUCUUUGCAAUGGAGAACAGCGCUUGUUUCUCUCCCAGACUCCCCGGUGGGAAGUAAAGCAGCUUGGAGACACGGCCAAAAUGAAUUGCCACCAGAUUGGCAUAGACCACAGCUGGAUGUACUGGUAUCGGCAGCCGGCAGCAGGAGGAGAGCUGGAAUUCAUUGGUAUCCUGGUUAGAGGGACUCCAGAGCCCUCUUUUGAAGACAGGUUUAAAGGCGGGCGAUUCAGGAUGGGAAGCGAGGAUAAAAAGCACUGCUCCCUGCAAAUAAGCGAGCUGAGACCUGAGGAUGCUGCCAGGUACUUCUGUUCCUCUGGAGCCGCACAAUGCUGCAAACCUUCAGCUGCUCUCCACAAAAACAGUCCUAUAGGGUGGAGGUGAGGAACACAGGAGUGAAUGUAGUCCUUCAGGUCUCUCUGUUUGUCCCUCAGGAACACUCGGCUCAGCCAGUUGCCUCCAGGAAUGGACUUUGGCAACCUUUCGUAAUACAGUGGUACCUCGGGUUAAGUACUUAAUUCAUUCCGGAGGUCUGUUCUUAACCUGAAACUGUUCUUAACCUGAAGCACCACUUUAGCUAAUGGGGCCCCCUGUUGCUGCUGCGCUGCCGGAGCACAAUUUCUGUUCUCAUCCUGAAGGAAAGUUCUUAACCUGAAGCACUAUUUCUGGGUUAGCGGAGUCUGUAACCUGAAGCGUAUGUAACCCGAGGUACCACUGUAUGCUGCUCUGUGCAAGGUCAAAAUCUGUGCUCCAAAAUGGAUAUUCUCAGUUAUGGAUCUUCUCCAUUUUGCACCCCCUUGUCUCGGUGCCCUGUCCAGGGGAACUGGUAGAUAUCGAUAUCUAUAAAGAUAUAGAAUCCGGAUUCUAUAUCAACUUUGUUUCAUAAAUGUUAGGCAUUUGCAAAUUUUGUGGGGGCUUUCCUCCCCCCUUGGCAACUUAAAAGAUGUUAUGAUAAGGAAUAAUAAUGUAAAGGUGGUGACUAAUUUGAUCUUCUCACCUCAGCAAAAAACAGUAAUUGCAAAAAAGGGGGGGGAGCUCACCUCUUACUAUUUAUGAAUGGAUUGAAAAGAUUUGGUCUGUGGUGAUAAAGAUCAGAUUAGCCUACUAUGACAGAAUGCAAUAAAUCUACCCAGUAAAUUCAUGGAGAAAUGAGUGUUAAUUUCGAUUUCAAUAACAAUGGCAAUGUGCAGCCAUAUGUUGUUUUCAGUUUAUUGUAAAGUUAUUAUCUGGAAACAUUGUAAACUUAUAAAAUGCUAACUAAAAGAAAAGGGUGAGCACUGGUUCACAAAUCAGUCCUUUCUUAUUAUCCUUUAAUCUUUUUGUGAGACAUGUGUGUUUCUCUCUCAUUUUAUUAA
rnacentral:lncRNA from 1 species